rnacentral:rRNA from 1 species
AUUGAACGAUGGCGGCAGGCUUAACACAUGCAAGUCGAGCGAGCGGCGGACGGGUGAGUAAUGUCUGGGAAACUGCCUGAUGGAGGGUGAUAACUUCUGGAAACGGUAGCUAAUACCGCAUACCAUCAGAUGUGCCCAGAUGGGAUUAGCUAUUAGGUGGGGUAAUGGCUCACCUAGGCGACGAUCCCUAGCUGGUUUGAGAGGAUGACCAGCCACACUGGAACGUAGACACGGUCCAGAUUCCUACGGGGGUCAUCAGUGUGGAAACUUGCCUAAUGGGCGGAAGCCUGAUGUGGCUAUGAGGGGUGGGGAGAGAGGGCCUGGGGGUUGCAAAGAAGAUUCAGGGAGGGGACUUUACUCGCAGAAUAAGCCUCGGCUAACUACGUUCCAGCCGCCGCGGUAAUAC